GGUUGUAACAACGGACAAACCAGGGGUUAGCUGUAAUCCCACUUGGGUCGCCUUAUAAAAACAAACCUACGACGCGAUGUGACGUGGCACGGAGGUAUUGAUAACUGGCCAGACCAGUGGGCCCCGAGCCUGCUCGCUAGGUUAUUGGUUACGUGUACUGGACCACGCACUCACAUGUAAUGCUCCUGCAAAAACCGGGUCAGAAGAACUCGAACCGAACGGGUUUCGGUUCCACCCGGCACGAUACGGC
rnacentral:misc_RNA from 1 species